rnacentral:lncRNA from 1 species
GCUAUAGAGUCCUACAACCCAAUUUUAGAGUCAGUUUCUUUGGAUCAUUGCUAGCACCAACUAUCUUAAAAGGAGUGACUAGGAAACAGACUCUGAAACAGAGAUCUGCAUGAAGGAAUUUUGAGAAGUGCUCUUGAAAACACCUACAGAGGAUGAAAGGAAAGAAAAUUGAGCAGAGGAAGAAGCUUAACUGCAACACAACAACAACAAAGGUCCAGCCAACCCUAUGCGGGGCUCUGACUCCUAGGCUAGAGGGAAGGAGCUUCAGAAGACGGAUGCGCCCAGACACUCAGGCUGUCAUCCACAUGAAUCUACAGAGUGGAUCUGGGCACCCACAGAGAUUGUCCAAUUCACUACUUAUUAUUAUUUGAAUACCAGCAUGACAAAAC